UACGGGGGGGGGCAAGCGUUGUUCGGAAUUACUGGGCGUAAAGGGCUCGUAGGUGGCCAACUAAGUCAGACGUGAAAUCCCCUCGGCUUAACCGGGGAACUGCGUCUGAUACUGGAUGGCUUGAGGUUGGGAGAGGGAUGCGGAAUUCCAGGUGUAGCGGUGAAAUGCGUAGAUAUCUGGAGGAACACCGGUGGCGAAGGCGGCAUCCUGGACCCAAUUCUGACACUGAGGAGCGAAAGCCAGGGGAGCAAACGGG
rnacentral:rRNA from 1 species